GGUUGGGACGCGGUGUUGCCUCACCUCCUCUUAAUCUUAAAUACAUCUGUGCGCUUCACACCCACUUUUACACACAACUAUUCCUACAAAGAAGCUGAGGACAUUUUUGUGUGAGAUUUGAUGGCAGUUGAAAGCUGGCAAAAGUGACAAGAGAGCAGGGUGAGAAAAUGUCUGAAAAAUGUUAACUGGUGUCGGCGUGUGGGGGUGUGGGGGGGGAGGCGGCUGGCCUUGAACUUGGUCUGUAUUUUUACUCUCCCUCUCAAGUGGCUAGCUUUUCUUCCGCACUUCUGCAUCUUUUUAUGUAUCUUCGAUUAUCUCCUCUUUAGUGAAAUAUAAUGCAAAUGAAGUCAGUAAGGUGGGGAUGCGAGUGAGACCACAGAAUUCCAUUGAUGAAGGUAAAGGCGAGCCGUGCCAGUGUGGAGAAGCACACUGCCUGAGUUAAAGUGUGAGAGAUGUAGUCGUCGUCAUUUUAGCGAUGUUUUAUGUGCCGAGCCAAUAUGAUGGAAUGGAGACGAGGGGAGGAAUACAUCGAGGAGGACACGCUUGGAAGGGCUGGCCGUAAAAGGGCAGGAAUGAGGACGGGAGGAAGUGAAGAUUGUCAGCUGGAAUCGAGGCUGAAGGCGGGAGGGCGAGGCAUGAAGGGUUCAGCCCAUAGGGAGGUGCAGCCUAAGGGAAGGAAGGGUCGUGUUGACAGUGAUGUGGUCGUUAGAGUUGUGUUCUGGAUAUGUUUGUAUCAGGAUGUUUUCGUGUAUUUUGUUGUAAGGUAGAAUGUGUCACUUUUCUGAAUUUCUGAUUGCUAUUUCGGGAACGCUACUUUUAACUAAAAUAUCUACCAUUAUUAUUAGAUAAAGAGAAGAGGAAUCUACUUUUGUUUACCGUUGUAGGAUAAUUCAUGUACCAGUCUUCAUCUCUCACUGUUAUUGAUUAUAAAUGUAGAAAUCAUUAUAAUAAAAUCGAUCAACAUGACUUACAUUACUUUGGGAUCAUUAAAAUGUUUAUUGUUUUUUUAUCCGGUUAAUUUUUGCGGCAAAGUAGCUUGUAAUUUAAAAUGUGCUUAUCAUUUUAAGUAUAGGAGCUAACCAUGCACCACCUUUGUACAUGACUUAUAUAAUUUCCCGAUCUCUUACAAGUUCAUUAUUCAAUCCUGCUUAUUAACUAGUACUCAAAUAAAAUGUGUAUUAUUAUUUCAAGUAAGGGAGCGAAUCAACUGCUUACUUCUUUCUUACAUCACAUAAGAACACAAAAACACAGAAAGAAAAAAGAAAAGGAAGCUGCAAGAGGCCAUAAGAUCUACACGUGGCAGUCCCUGUGUCUAUCAAUUUAGGAUCACUUACUUACACGUCACUUUUCAUCCCGGUCCGUGAUUGCUCCUCCGGUCAAGUCAAGUGGAGUACUGAGCGGCAACGUGGCUCUUGAUUGAAAAAGGUGACCCAGCAUUAGUAG